ACCCCAGCCAGCAUGGCCGGCAGGAGCGCACCGCGCUGUCUCCCUCCAGGGAUCCGCACCGCCCUACAAUCCUGCUUUGUGCUGAGAUUGUAGUCCUGCAGGCGUACAACUAACAAGCUGGGUGCAGAUAAGAGACUACAGCUCCCCGCAUCCCAAGCAAAGGUCCCUCCUCUACGGAGCCCCUCCACGCGUCCACUGCGGUUCCGCCGUGCCAAGGGGAGCUUGGCUGUUCACGGGCCUCACCUGCUAGCGAGAAGAUAGCUUGGCCGGGCGGCUGAUCUCACCUUGUAAUUCUGACACUGUGUCUCCCGGGCUUGUCGGCUUCAUGACUUGUGCCCAAAGUUUGAUUUCUCGCAGACCAGGAGGACCCAUUGGACCCCCGGGCUGGCUGCAGGGCCCACACCUGGGUUAGACCUCGCACAGGGACGCUGCUGCCACUGUAAUAAAGCGUGCCUACACGCUUCUGAAACUGGUGUAGGAACAACCUCAGUUCUGUGAAAGGCGGACGCAGCAGGACAGAAUCUCCGUGGACAUCUGUCUGGAGGAGCAAUUUUACUGCGACAUUUUAAAGAAACAAAUUUAAUUGAUUUCCAAGGGUGUCCAUCGCGCUUCCUUCACUGCCUUGAUCAUGUCGGGGUCACCACCUGCGGGGGUUUGUCCUGCAGACCCUGACUCAACGACGGAUGAAUAAUGUACACUGACACAGAUCUUAUGCUUGUCAGUCCUGCUGAGCAUCCAGGCCACUUACAGACUCCAAGAAGAGUCCUGUCAGCCACGGCUCUGACUUGUUGGCCCUCCCGGCAUUUAUUUAGCACACAUUUAAUGACAGAAGUCUCAGGUAAACACCACUAGAAGGCUGGAAACACUCUUUUUGUAGAACAUACAAAUGGACAUUUCUAAGCACAUUGAGGCCUAUAAUGAAAAAUCAAAUAUCCCACAAUGAAAACUAGAAGGAAGCUAUCUGUGAUAAUGCUUUGUGGUGUAUGGAUUCAUCUCACUGACUGAAACCUGAGUUUUGAUUCACCAGGCUGGAAACACUGUUUUCGUAGAACCUACAAAAAGACAUUGGGGAGCCCACUGAGUCUUACAGUGAUAAACCAAGGAUCCUGUGAUAAAACUAGAAACAAGCUAUCUGUGAAAAUGCUUUGCAGUUGGUGAAUUUCUUUCAUAGUUAAACCUUUUUUUAUUCAAUACGUUGGAAACACCAUUUUUUAGUGUCUCUAAAGGGACUUUUUCAGCCCUUUGAAACCUAUAGUGAAAAACCAAAUAUCUUGCAAUAAAAACAAAUAAACAAAAAAGAA
rnacentral:lncRNA from 1 species